rnacentral:rRNA from 1 species
UACAGGGGGGGCAAGCGUUGUUCGGAAUUACUGGGCGUAAAGGGCUCGUAGGCGGCCAACUAAGUCCGACGUGAAAUCCCUCGGCUUAACCGGGGAACUGCGUCUGAUACUGGAUGGCUUGAGUGUGGGAGAGGGAUGCGGAAUUCCAGGUGUAGCGGUGAAAUGCGUAGAUAUCUGGAGGAACACCGGUGGCGAAGGCGGCAUCCUGGACCAUUACUGACACUGAAAAGCGAAAGCCAGGGGAGCAAACGGG